UACAUUAAUACAAAACAUUUUGGUGUGAAAAAUGCAAACUCUUCAACAUGCAAAUAUGUUGAUAUGCUGGAAGACCUAUUUGUUGGUGAUUUUCUGUGGGGAGUUCUGUUCUUCUGAAAACCAUAUCACACCAAAGAAACAGGAAGUUUCAGGACUCCAGGGAGAAUACAUUAUGUUUCCAGUGCCGGUCUCUCAAUAUGGUGGUAUGAGGACUGAAGGAGGAGAGACCCUUGCAACUGUCUUUGGAGGUCAGGUUAGAGUUGAAGAUAUGCCUAGGUUUAAGAGUCGCCUGCGCUGGGACAGUCAGACUGGACACUUCUCUCUUCAUAACUUGACAGUUGCUGACUCGGGCAGUUAUGUCAUAGAGAGCACUGAGGGCUUAGAAGGAAAGUAUACUUUUAGGCUAACUGUGUAUGGUAAGUGUUCAUUCAUUAAAUACACCCACAGUUGUACUUAUGUUCUCACUAACAUCUAUGCUUCAACACAGAUUAAAUCUUCUUAUAUUAGGUAAAAGGCAAGUGCUCUUAGACCAACUGUGAGUCGGGUAAUUGGAUAUAAGGUCUAUAUGAUGAUCUGCAGUUGUAUUGUAUGUUUUAACCUUCUGAUUCUUAUUUUUGUCUUUAUUAUUAACUGUAACCCAAACAUUGAACCUAAAUUAACCUAACUAAAAAAACAAGGAAAAUGUGGAUAAAAUGUAAUAUGCCACCAAACAUUAGGAUCCCCGACAAUGUGUACAAUUUUAUGUUUUUGUCAGGCAAUCAGUCUAAUAGAUAUUUACUUAUUUGAUUUGAAGCUGGACAAAACACGAUUUAAAACAUAGUAAUGUGGAAGUAUAAUGCUCUCAGACCCAAAAUGCUGGUAAAAAAGGUGGGGGGUGUGGAAAUGGCUCAAAUAAAUAAAUACACAUUGUGCUGGACCUUAUAGCA
rnacentral:lncRNA from 1 species